rnacentral:misc_RNA from 1 species
GGUUAGUUGGAGCUGGAUGUCGGAAAUUAUUUGAGAUUUGCUUUUGGAUUGUGUUUUGAUUUGUUUCUGAUAAAAUGUCCUUACAAUUUAUGGAGAAUCUGAUGUGGUGUGUGUUGGUUAUGGAAAAUUUACUGUAACUGCUGCUGUUCUAGGUUUCUUCAUCUCAUGACAGAUCAAUUUCUGAAGGGAUUUGGUUUUGAUUGCUUUCGAGUUUUGGUUUUUUGUAGG